UACGGAGGGUGCAAGCGUUAUCCGGAUUUACUGGGUUUAAAGGGUGCGUAGGUGGGUAGGCAAGUCAGUGGUGAAAUCUUCGGGCUUAACCCGGAAACUGCCAUUGAUACUAUUUAUCUUGAAUACUUUGGAGGUAAGCGGAAUAUGUCAUGUAGCGGUGAAAUGCUUAGAUAUGACAUAGAACACCAAGUGCGAAGGCAGCUUACUACACAGUUAUUGACACUGAGGCACGAAAGCGUGGGGAUCAAGCAGG
rnacentral:rRNA from 1 species